AGUAUAAUAAGAGAGAAGAAAAA
rnacentral:snRNA from 1 species